GAUGAACGCUGGCGGCGUGCCUAAUACAUGCAAGUCGAGCGAACAGAUGAGGAGCUUGCUCCUCUGACGUUAGCGGCGGACGGGUGAGUAACACGUGGAUAACCUACCUAUAAGACUGGGAUAACUUCGGGAAACCGGAGCUAAUACCGGAUAAUAUAUUGAACCGCAUGGUUCAAUAGUGAAAGACGGCUUUGCUGUCACUUAUAGAUGGAUCCGCGCCGCAUUAGCUAGUUGGUAAGGUAACGGCUUACCAAGGCAACGAUGCGUAACCGACCUGAGAGGGUGAUCGGCCACACGGGAACUUGGACACGGUCCAGACUCCUACGGGAGGCAGCAGUAGGGAAUCUUCCGCAAUGGGCGAAAGCCUGACGGAGCAACGCCGCGUGAGUGAUGAAGGUCUUCGGAUCGUAAAACUCUGUUAUUAGGGAAGAACAAAUGUGUAAGUAACUAUGCACGUCUUGACGGUACCUAAUCAGAAAGCCACGGCUAACUACGUG
rnacentral:rRNA from 1 species